CACUACGGCCAUGCCAUCUUGAACACACCCAAUCCCAUCUGAUCCCAGAAGCUAAAGAGGGGUCAGGCCUGGUUAGUACUUGGAUGGGAGAUCACUUAGGAAGACCAGGUGUUGUAGGCA
ensembl:rRNA 5S_rRNA 5S ribosomal RNA